GUAUGUUUCGGAUACCUCUGGUUCUUCACAAAUUCUGAAACAUUACGACAGUCUGAUGAAAUUGGGUAGAAAUCAUCAGAAAAAAGAAUCAACUCAAAACCUAUUACAGAAUAAAAAUGAAAAUUCUUUUCGUGAGCAGAAAGUUUCUAUCUUUUCCAGCGUGAUCAAACGAUCAACCUCAAUACUAAUCAUAACGAUUUUGCUUGGCACAAACGCAAAAAGAAACACAAAAAACACAAUCAUAACAGAAUUAUGAAAGUGUGGAAAACACAAAACAGAAAGAAAAAG
rnacentral:lncRNA from 1 species